AGAGUAUGAUCCUGGCUCAGAACGAACGCUGGCGGCAGGCCUUAUACAUGCAAGUCGAGCGCAUCCUUCGGGAUGAGCGGCGGACGGGUGAGUAACGCGUGGGAAUGUGCCCUUCUCUACGGAAUAGCCACUGGAAACGGUGAGUAAUACCGUAUACGCCCUCAGGGGGAAAGAUUUAUCGGAGAAGGAUCAGCCCGCGUUAGAUUAGGUAGUUGGUGGGGUAACGGCCUACCAAGCCUACGAUCUAUAGCUGGUUUUAGAGGAUGAUCAGCCACACUGGGACUGAGACACGGCCCAGACUCCUACGGGAGGCAGCAGUAGGGAAUCUUGGACAAUGGGGGCAACCCUGAUCCAGCCAUGCCGCGUGAGUGAAGAAGGCCCUAGGGUCGUAAAGCUCUUUCGCCUGUGAUGAUAAUGACAGUAGCAGGUAAAGAAACCCCGGCUAACUCCGUGCCAGCAGCCGCGGUAAUACGGAGGGGGUUAGCGUUGUUCGGAAUUACUGGGCGUAAAGCGCGCGUAGGCGGAUUGGAAAGUUGGGGGUGAAAUCCCGGGGCUCAACCCCGGAACUGCCUUCAAAACUCCCAGUCUAGAGUUCGAGAG
rnacentral:rRNA from 1 species